GACGAACGCUGGCGGCGUGCUUAACACAUGCAAGUCGAACGGAAAGGCCCUGCUUUUGUGGGGUGCUCGAGUGGCGAACGGGUGAGUAACACGUGAGUAACCUGCCCUUGACUUUGGGAUAACUUCAGGAAACUGGGGCUAAUACCGGAUAGGAGCUCCUGCUGCAUGGUGGGGGUUGGAAAGUUUCGGCGGUUGGGGAUGGACUCGCGGCUUAUCAGCUUGUUGGUGGGUAGUGGCUUACCAAGGCUUUGACGGGUAGCCGUCCUGAGAGGGUGACCGGCCACAUUGGGACUGCGAUACGGACCAGACUCCUACGGGAGGCAGCAGUGGGGAAUAUUGCACAAUGGGCGGAAGCCUGAUGCAGCAACGCCGCGUGCGGGAUGACGGCCUUCGGGUUGUAAACCGCUUUCGACUGUGACGAAGCGUGAGUGACGGUAAUGGGUAAAGAAGCACCGGCUAACUACGUG
rnacentral:rRNA from 1 species